UCUCAAGACUGGGAACUGAAUCCUCCGUAGGAAGAGGCCCCGGCACAACACGCGCGUUAGUGUGGGACUCUGGAAAAAUUCUAACAGCUCUGCUCUGCCCCGGGAGAAGCAGAUUUUGCUGACCUUCAGGCAAAUCACUUAACCUCUGUGGUUUGGUGUCUGAAUCUGUAACGAAUAAUCAUCCUGUAACCCCUCCCAGAGGCCUGAGAACGACAAGGGAGCGGCCGUUUAAGGGCCUGCUGCGCCUCAGACAGAGCUUCAGCAUGGGGUCAUCUGCUUGAUUGGGAGAAGAACGUCAGGCAGCAGCUGAGGUUGGAAACCCUGAAUUUGGAGCAACGCUACUCUCACAGUCUCAUGAUUUUCUCUAGCAACACGCAGAAGAUCGUUGGACAGAUCCAGGCCGAGGUGCUGAAGGGCAAGUUCUUUGAAAAGACAGGAGACAAAUGAGUUGAGACUAUUGACAAGACAGUGAUUGCUGCAUAAUGGAAAAGGCACUCUACUGUGAUGUAAUAACUCACUACCUGCCAGGGUGUGCACUGUUAUUAGGCCCUCACAGAGGGUCCAGCACCUCAUACGGAGCUCCUGACAAGCCCUCAUGAGUGGUUCUCCAGUGAAGAUGUGGACAUCCUUGGAAAGGACAGUCAAGAGCACCUGGGACUCUCCAGUGCUUCCCCAGGGCCAUCUGCUGACAAGCCUCAAGCAGUUGGGAGUUUUCCAGUCUGCAGGCACAGUAGCUGAUUUGUGAAGAGGGAAGGCCUGCGGGCUUGGAUUGACGACCUGGUACCCUGCAGCACAGAAACGGCUGGAUACAUGACUGCUGAGCCAGACUGCAUUUCCUUGUCUUUCUUGUAACCAGGUGUGGCCAGACUAAAUUAUCUUCAAUGGACUAUGAAUCAAAAUUAGGUGUCACUUCUAGGUCAGGACAUAGGGAGAGUAGGGGAGCACGCCUCGGGCUCUCCUCUUCCUCCCGCUAGAAGUGGGAACAGCUGCAGUGAUCCUGAGGAACCACCCCACUCUCGUCCAUCCCCGAGGACUCUUUGGAACAGAGGCAUGUACUUGCUGGAUGUAUGAGAUAAAUCGAUUUCUGUCCUGUUUGAGUCAUUACAUUUUGAGGUAUCUAUACAAUAAAAGUAUCUAAAUCAUAAAAUAGUUACAAGCAUUGAAGAAGAUAACGCAGGUGCCCUGAGCCUAGCACAUAACAUCACUAAGCAUCACCCUUAAUGCAUAUGGUUAAAAACAGGAGCUUAGCACCCAGAGUGUGUGUUCAAGAACCUGUGAAAACUGAGAGAUGUUUUGUAAUAGGGAAAGAAAGAAGUGAAGUCUCCUCGCUCUUCAGGAUCGUCUGAGAAAACCUGAGGGCGGAGCUGGGAAUUCUCAGUGUUAGCACCACGAUGUUAGCUCCUUUCUGCAGGGAAAGCAAACUAUUGCAUAGUUCUAAGUCCAGUGACUCAGAAGCCCUCAUUUGACCCAGAAAACCUCCAGCCAGAUUAUAGAAGGCACAAGGUCAAAUAGAUAAGAAUCUAAAAGCCAAACAGAAGUCUCUAAUUAAUGCCAACAAUCUGCCCGUUACAGCUUCGGUUUGGUCACUAGUUGACAGUCAAAUUAACUAUAGUUCAUUUCCUACUACAGUCAACUUACAAUUAGGCAUAAUAAUGAAGGGAAGUAAUGGCACUCAUGACUUAACAUAGUGAGUACUACAAAAAGAGCUUUAUUUAGCUUUGGAAUUGUGCGCAUGUAGCAUGUACACGUGCAUUUACCAUUCUGUCCUCUACACGGAUCUGCCCCCUCCCAAAAGAAGUGGGAACAAUUGGUCCAUCUCUCUUUUUUUGUUGCAAAUCUUCUAUUCCCAUGAUUAGCUUUACACAGAACGAAAUAAAAUCAUUUGCUUCCUUACCAGUGUAAUUAUGUAAAAUCAUUU